rnacentral:tRNA from 1 species
AUUUAAAUAGCUUAUUAUUAGAGCAUAGUAUUGAAGCUACUAAGGAAAUAUAUUUAUUUUUAAAUA